rnacentral:misc_RNA from 1 species
CCUCCUUAACGAUAAUUUCGAAUUUCAAACGCCCACACGAGUAACCAAAUAUUUAAAAGAACAUACUGAUAUGUAAAAUUUUUGGUAUGUAAUUUUCUAGUAUAUGCAUUUAUGCAUAUAUAAGAUCACUGCAAUUUAAUUAGAAAAGUAAUUAAUAUAUUUUAUUAAGUACUCUCAAAAAAAGCGAAAAAUAACCUUUUUUAAGGUUAUAUGAUCAAGUAAAGGAAGAGCACAAGGCGGAUGCCUUGGCAGCAGAAGGCGAUGAAGGACGUAGUAACUUGCGAUAAGCCUCGGGGAGCUGGUAAACAAGCUUCGAUCCGAGGAUUUCCGA